AUGUCUGACAUGGAGAAUGAAAACAAUGCUGUUAAUCAGUCUGUCAUUACGGGGACUGACAUCGAGCAUUUUGGGAAUGAAAAGCUUCGUGAUUUGCUCCAAAGCAGCGAAGCAAGACACAAAGAAAAGGAUGCUGAAAUUGAAAAAAUGAAAGCUCAACACGAAAACAUUGCAACACAGAAAUGUAUUGCACUGGCGUUCUAUCAAGAGAAAGUCCAAGUAUUUGCGGAUGAUUUGCUGACCUUGUCCAAGAUUAAUCAGAAAGUCUGCGACGAAGCCAACAUGAAAAUUCAAACGCUCACAGAGGAAAAGCACAAAUUUAUAAAGUUAAACGAAGAUUAUCAGAGAAAAAUGGAAUGGGAGAAAGACCAGUUAUUCUCCACAAAAACAGAGCUGGAGAAAAUGGAAUUAGAACAAAAAACUUUGCAGAAACACUGUCAAAGUCAAAAUGACCAAAUUACGGAUUACAAGGAGCAGAUCGACAACCUGAGAAAGCAAAACAACAGUUUACAGGAAAACUUAGAAAGAAUGAAGUUAAGUGAAUCAGAGUUAUCUGAGACUCGUGAAAAGGAAAAAGCAAUGUUAAAUAUGAAAAUUGAUGAUGUUCAAAGGAAGGUGGUGAAUCAAAAUGACAAAAUUACGGAUUACAUUAUGCAGAAUCACCAACUGAAAGAGCAAAACAACAGUUUACAGAAAAACUUAGAAAUAAUUAAGUUAAGUGAAUCAGAGUUAUCUGAGAUUCAUGAAAAGGAAAAAGCAAUGUUAAAUAUGGAAAUUGAUGAUGUUCAAAGGCAGGUGGUGAAACAAAAUGACAAAAUUACGGAUUACAAGGAGCAGAAUCACAACCUGAUACAGCAAAACAACAGUUUACAGAAAGACAGAGAAAGACUCUGUGAGAUUGAAGAAAUGUUACGGAAUACACAAACGGAAAAAGCAAUAUUAAAUAUGGAAAUUGAUGAUGUUCAAAGGCAGGUGGUGAAACAAAAUGACAAAAUUACGGAUUACAAGGAGCAGAAUCACAACCUGAUACAGCAAAACAACAGUUUACAGAAAGACAGAGAAAGACUCUGUGAGAUUGAAGAAAUGUUACGGAAUACACAAACGGAAAAAGCAAUAUUAAAUAUGGAAAUUGAUGAUGUUCAAAGGAAGGUGGUGAAACAAAAUGACAAAAUUACGGAUUACAAGGAGCAGAAUCACAACCUGAUACAGCAAAACAGUUUACUGAAAGACAUAAAAAGACUCUGUGAGAUUGAAGAAAUGUUCCAGAAUAGACAAAACGAAAAAGCAAUAUUAAAAUUGAAAAUUGAUGAGGUUCAAAGGAAGGUGGUGAAUCAAAAUGACAAAAUUACGGAUUACAAGGAGCAGAAUCACAACCUGAUACAGCAAAACAACAGUUUACAGAAAGACAUAAAAAGACUCUGUGAGAUUGAAGAAAUGUUCCAGAAUACACAAACGGAAAAAGCAAUAUUAAAAUUGGAAAAUGAUAAGGUUAGUAUUAAGGUGAAAUAUUUAUGUGACAAUCUUGUUAUGACUGAACAAGAAAACAACGACCUGAAAAGAAAACUCACUGAAGCUAUACAUAUAAAUUUGAUCUUAAAAAACACAAUAACCAAAAUGAAACACGAGAAUGACAAGUUGAAGAGAAAUGUUGUAAAAUGCAGCGAAAAACCGGUGUCUGUCACCACUUCGUUAACAGAAGCGCAUGUAGGAAGUGAAUCCACGCCCAUAGCAUCCUCUGAAGAUUCUGAUUCCCAAAGUUCAAAACAAGAGAAUCACAAGACGUCAAAAUUCAAGAAGAUGAAAAACUUUCUAAAAAAAAAAUUGUUAAGGAAAAAGGACUCUUAA
ensembl:lncRNA